GACGAACGCUGGCGGCGUGCCUAAUACAUGCAAGUAGAACGCAGUUGCGAACGGGUGAGUAACGCGUAGGUACCUGCCUCAUAGCGGGGGAUCACUAUUGGAAACGUUAGCUCAUACCGCAUACUGUGAGAUGGACCUGUGUUGUAUUGGCUAGUUGGUUAGGUAAAGGCUCACCAAGGCGUCGGUACAUAGCCGACGUGAGAAGGGGAGCGGGCACACAGGGACGUGAGAACGGGUCAGAACCCGUCGGGAGGCAGGAGUAGGGAAAUUUCGGAAAUGGAGGGAAGUCUGACCGAGCAAAGCCGCGUGAGGGAAGAAGGUUUUCGGAUCGUAAAGCUCUGUUGUUAGGGAAGCGGUAACUAACCAGAAAGGGACGGCUAACUACGUGCCAGCCGCCGCGGUAAUAC
rnacentral:rRNA from 1 species